UCGAACGAAAAUCAGAAGCUUGCUCCUGUGGAUUAGUGGCGAAAGGGUGAGUAACGCGUGAACAACCUACCCUCGAAUCAGGAAUAACAGUUGGAAACAGCUGCUAAAACCGGAUGUAAUUAGUAAUUCGCAUGUUUUACUACUUAAAAAUUUAUUGUUCGAGGAUGGGUUCGCGUCCCAUUAGCUAGUUGGUGAGGUAACGGCUCACCAAGGCGACGAUGGGUAGCUGGUCUGAGAGGAUGAUCAGCCACACUGGGACUGAGACACUGCCCAGACUCCUACGGGAGGCUGCAGUCGAGAAUCUUCCGCAAUGCGCGAAAGCGUGACGGAGCGAUGCCGCGUGCAUGAUGAAGGCCUUCGGGUUGUAAAAUGCUGUCACUGGGGACGAAAUUUGACGGUACCCAGAGAGGAAGCCACGGCUAACUACGUGCCAGCAGCCGCGGUAAUACGUAGGUGGCGAGCGUUGUUCGGAUUUAUUGGGCGUAAAGGGUCCGUCGGCGGUCUGCUAAGUCUGAUGUGAAAUCCCGGGGCUCAACUCCGGAACUGCAUUGGAAACUGGUGGACUAGAGUAUCGGAGAGGUAAGCGGAAUACCUGGUGUAGCGGUGGAAUGCGUAGAUAUCAGGUAGAACACCAACAGCGAAGGCAGCUUACUGGACGAUUACUGACGCUCAGGGACGAAAGCGUGGGGAGCAAACAGGAUUAGAUACCCU
rnacentral:rRNA from 1 species